rnacentral:rRNA from 1 species
AUGCCUACGGGGCGCAGCAGUAGGGAAUCUUCCACAAUGGGCGAAAGCCUGAUGGAGCAACGCCGCGUUUUUUCCUCCUUUCUUCUUCUCUUCACCCCCUUUUUUUAUAUCAUAAAUUUCUUUAGAGUAACUGUUCACGUUUCGACGGUAUCUAACCAGAAAGCCACGGCUAACUACGUGCCAGCAGCCGCGGUAAUACGUAGGUGGCAAGCGUUAUCCGGAUUUAUUUGGCGUAAAUCUAA